AUUGAACGCUGGCGGCAGGCCUAACACAUGCAAGUCGAGCGGAUGACGGGAGCUUGCUCCUGGAUUCAGCGGCGGACGGGUGAGUAAUGCCUAGGAAUCUGCCUGGUAGUGGGGGACAACGUUUCGAAAGGAACGCUAAUACCGCAUACGUCCUACGGGAGAAAGCAGGGGACCUUCGGGCCUUGCGCUAUCAGAUGAGCCUAGGUCGGAUUAGCUUGUUGGUGAGGUAAUGGCUCACCAAGGCGACGAUCCGUAACUGGUCUGAGAGGAUGAUCAGUCACACUGGAACUGAGACACGGUCCAGACUCCUACGGGAGGCAGCAGUGGGGAAUAUUGGACAAUGGGCGAAAGCCUGAUCCAGCCAUGCCGCGUGUGAGAAGAAGGUCUUCGGAUUGUAAGCACUUUAAGUUGGGAGGAAGGGUUGUAGAUUAAUACUCUGCAAUUUUGACGUUACCGACAGAAUAAGCACCGGCUAACUCUGUGCCAGCCGCCGCCGUAA
rnacentral:rRNA from 1 species